UACGUAGGGGGCAAGCGUUGUCCGGAAUCAUUGGGCGUAAAGAGCGUGUAGGCGGUCCGGUAAGUCCGCUGUGAAAGUCGGGGGCUCAACCCUCGAAUGCCGGUGGAUACUGUCGGGCUAGAGUGCGGAGGAGGCGAGUGGAAUUCCUGGUGUAGCGGUGAAAUGCGCAGAUAUCAGGAGGAACACCUAUUGCGAAGGCAGCUCGCUGGGACGUUACUGACGCUGAGACGCGAAAGCGUGGGGAGCGAACAGG
rnacentral:rRNA from 1 species